AUGCACGUGAUGCCACGCCACGUCCUCCCUGUGCCUCCUGAGAGCCUGCUGCUGCCCUUCAGCCAAUGUAGCCUGACAAGUCGAUACACCUCCUUGCAUCUGCUCGCAGACCUUGCACUUUCCUCGGUCUUAUCUUUCCUAGGUAUCAGCAGCAGCAGUGAUAGCAGCUGUGUAUCCUAAGCCUGGGAUGAUGGAGCUGGUAAUUACAAUGAUUUUGAGAGGCAUCUUGCAGAAACCACAAAUGGGAAAGUCAGUAGAGGAUAUACCAGGAAAACGUGAUGUCCCAUGCAGGCCAAAAGAAAAGUGCAUCACUAAGACGAUAUAGCCAUUUCCCUAAAAUGGGAAUUGUCUGUCUGGUUUAGAAUAUAAUAGUCGUUUUUUUUUUUUUACCCUGUCAAGCAGUAUAUAAAGCCUGUGGAAAUGGUACCACAAAUACAGCAGAUAAACUGUGGGAAGUGACUAGCAAAGAUGGAUUUCCUUUGAGUGUUAAAUUACACUUAAACUCAAAAAAAAAAAGUCUUAACUGUGGGAAAAAAUAUAUUUUAGAGGGAACUGACUUGUGCUUUCAUCCUAGGUCAGCUGUGCAGUGUGGGUAGAAGAGAUUUGGCUCGGGGAAGACAUUUUUCUUCUCCUGGAGGAAAUCCGAUAAGUAUGGCAACAAAGAUUUUCUUUUUAAUGAAGUCCAGCUGUAAUAACCAAAAUUGCGUUUAACUUUUUAGUUCCAUCUGAUUCUUGGUGGUGUUCACCAUUGGAGGUAGUUUGGCUAAAUCACUCCUGGAUCCUAGUGUCAGAGUGAGGGAGCGUCAUCGACUCAUGUUUCUUGGCUAAAUGUGUUUGGUGCACCCUGACACUUUGCUAACAGCCAGGGUGCCUGUAGUUGAAAUGCUUUGAGAUGCUUUAGCACUGUUACAGAUUGUGAUACAGGUGAUAGGAGACCUACUUGCUUCGAGCAGUGAUCCAACUGAUUGUUUUGUUAUUCUUUGCGCUUACGUUCUGGUGUGGCCACAAUUUUGUGCAGAGUGUUUAAAACAAAACAGUGACAACAAAACAAAACAAAAACCAAGGGACCCAAAUCGUAAAGUACAUUUUAACAAUUAUAUUAGGGUGCACACAAAUGACAAGGUUUCAGUCUCUGCCUUGUUGCUCAGGAAAUCCCAAUAUCCUUAAUUAGCUCAUCUUU
rnacentral:lncRNA from 1 species